rnacentral:rRNA from 1 species
AGCAGCCGCGGUAAUUCCAGCUCCAAUAGCGUAUAUUAAAGUUGUUGCAGUUAAAAAGCUCGUAGUUGAAUUUCGAGACCGGCUUACUGGUCGUGCUUUUGUACGUACUGGUAUAAUCGGUUUCUCCUUUCUGACGAACUAUAAUGCCAUUAAUUUGGUGUUAUAGGGAAUCAGGACUGUUACUUUGAAAAAAUUAGAGUGUUUAAAGCAGGCUCACGCUUGAAUACAUUAGCAUGGUAUAACGGAAUAGGACGUUUGAUUCUAUUUUGUUGGUUUCUAGGAUCGACGUAAUGAUUAAUAGGGAUAGUUGGGGGCAUUAGUAUUCAAUUGUCAGAGGUGAAAUUCUUGGAUUUAUUGAAGACUAACUACUGCGAAAGCAUUUGCCAAGGAUGUUUUCAUUAAUCAAGAACGAAAGUUAGGGGAUCGAAGACGAUCAGAUACCGUCGUAGUCUUAACCAUAAACUAUGCCGACUAGGGAUCGGAUGAUGUUAAUUUUUUAAUGACUCAUUCGCGCCUUACG